AAAAAAAAAAAUUGUAGGAAUAGUGAAUCGAUUUUUAGAUGAUCAAAAAAAGAAAAACAUAUCAAGAAAGAACAACUAUUAACCUAAUUGAUAUAGCAAUAAAAAUAGUAAAUGAAACUAAGACAUACACCCGGUGCAGUGUGUCACGGCACAAAUUAAUGCGCAGCUCAAUGCUGUGCGGCACUUAGCCAAUUCCCACGCCAAUUGACUAAGUCAGCCUUUCCUAACUGCCUUGGGCCAAAACACCCGGGUGGCUAUGGUGAGAAUAUUCGGGUGAAAGUGCUGGCUGAACCUCACUUGGGGCACAAUUGCACUGGCCGAACCUCAAUUGGGCUGAAAACAGCCUGGCCGAACCUCACUUGGGCUAUAGAAUAGCCUGACCGAACCUCACUUGGCUGAAGAGUCUGCUGGCCGAAUCACUUGGUUGGCAGAAUGCCCCAGGCGGAACCUCACUUGGGCUGAAAAGCCUGCUGGCCGAACCUUACUUGGGCUGUGGAAUAGCCUGGCUGAACCUCACUGGGCUGAAGAGUCUGCUGACCGAAUCACUUGGCUAGCAGAAUGCCCCAGGCGAAACCUCACGUGGGCGGAAUAGCCUACUGGCUGAACCUCACUUGGCUGGUAGAAUGCCCAGGCAGAACCUCACUUGUGCUGGCCAAGCAGCACUAUGAACCUCAAUUGGCAGAAAUGUAGAAGAAGGAGAACACAAGUAUUUGGGGGAUAAAAGUGGAGCUUUAUUAAUGAUGAGAAUGUCUUUACAAUUGGGGAAGACUAUACACUCAAUACACAAGUGAUCUCUCUACACUUGGUGAACCUCACAA
rnacentral:misc_RNA from 1 species